UGUGGUUUCCCUUGGUUAGCUGUCUGAGUUUGAGGUCCGUUAUUAAACAGAGUUUUUUUACCUGUUGUGUCGUUUGCCUUGCUUCUCAACACAACCCCUGACAGAUGACCGAACCACGUAAAAUGAACUGGCCUGCGGACAAGCUAUUUAACAUCCAGCAGGGUGGAUGGCCUUUGGAGCUAUAUGUGGAGGAGUUCCUGAGUGUUUUCCAUCUGGAAACCUGGACAAGACAAUGAAGGCACAUCCUCCAUGGCCCCCUGAAAGACCACCACCACCCUGGAGCCUUCCUGUCCUGUGUUGCUGCACCUAACAAUCCUCCAGGGUGUCCACCCUCCUACUCCUCUGGUUGGUGUCUAGCGUGAGGACGUGCUUUAUGAAAGGGAUUUGUUAGAAACCACUGGCCAGAUCUAUGGAUGUGAACAUCAUCACUCUUUUGAAAACAUCUACUCCACUGUGGGAAAAACUAACUUCUCAUGUCCUAAAGCCUGCAUGGUGUUAUUUUUUUCAGGUCAACCUUUCUGGAGUGGCCUGAUGUCACUUUUAUUAAAACAAGCUGAACAGAAAAAGCAAUCAUGUGAGCUUUAUAGCCAUUAACUGUAACCUUUCCAUGCCUUAAGCUCAUGUCUGCUCUCUGUCUCGCUGUUCUGGUCAGAAUCGCAUAUACGACUUUGUUUUCAUUCCCAGGUUUAGUCAUUAAUUUACUUCCUCACUUCUCAGACCUUGAGUUUGUUGCAUUUAGAAGCUGCAUAUGAUCUGAGGCAAACUGUAGAUUUUAUAAUGCCACUCAUUUGAAGUAAUUCAGAUUGUGAUUUUAGUGCUCACAUCAAGUUAAUGUUGA